rnacentral:rRNA from 1 species
ACCGAGUUUACAACUCCCAAACCCAAUGUGAACGUUACCAAACUGUUGCCUCGGCGGGAUCUCUGCCCCGGGUGCGUCGCAGCCCCGGACCAAGGCGCCCGCCGGAGGACCAACCAAAACUCUUAUUGUAUACCCCCUCGCGGGUUUUUUUAUAAUCUGAGCCUUCUCGGCGCCUCUCGUAGGCGUUUCGAAAAUGAAUCAAAACUUUCAACAACGGAUCUCUUGGUUCUGGCAUCGAUGAAGAACGCAGCGAAAUGCGAUAAGUAAUGUGAAUUGCAGAAUUCAGUGAAUCAUCGAAUCUUUGAACGCACAUUGCGCCCGCCAGUAUUCUGGCGGGCAUGCCUGUCCGAGCGUCAUUUCAACCCUCGAACCCCUCCGGGGGGUCGGCGUUGGGGAUCGGCCCUGCCUUUGGCGGUGGCCGUCUCCGAAAUACAGUGGCGGUCUCGCCGCAGCCUCUCCUGCGCAGUAGUUUGCACACUCGCAUCGGGAGCGCGGCGCGUCCACAGCCGUUAAACACCCAACUUCUGAAAUGUUGACCUCGGAUCAGGUAGGAAUACCCGCUGAACUUAAGCAUAUCAAUAAGCGGAGGA